rnacentral:rRNA from 1 species
GAUGAACGCUGGCGGCGUGCCUAAUACAUGCAAGUCGAGCGAACAGACGAGGAGCUUGCUCCUCUGACGUUAGCGGCGGACGGGUGAGUAACACGUGGAUAACCUACCUAUAAGACUGGGAUAACUUCGGGAAACCGGAGCUAAUACCGGAUAAUAUAUUGAACCGCAUGGUUCAAUAGUGAAAGACGGUUUUGCUGUCACUUAUAGAUGGAUCCGCGCCGCAUUAGCUAGUUGGUAAGGUAACGGCUUACCAAGGCAACGAUGCGUAGCCGACCUGAGAGGAGGAGCGGCCACACUGGAACGGAGACACGGUCCAGACUCCUACGGGAGGCAGCAGUGGGGAAGCUUGCACAAUGGGAGAAAGCCUGACGGAGCAACGCCGCGUGAGUGAAGAAGGUCUUCGGAUCGUAAAACUCUGUUAUUAGGAAAGAAAAAAUGUAUACGUAACUAUACACGUGUUGACGGUACCUAAUCAGAAAGCCACGGCUAACUACGUG